UACGGAGGGGACUAGCGUUGUUCGGAAUUACUGGGCGUAAAGCGCACGUAGGCGGAUUUGUAAGUCAGGGGUGAAAUCCCGGGGCUCAACCUCGGAACUGCCUUUGAUACUGCAAAUCUCGAGUCCGGAAGAGGUGAGUGGAAUUCCUAGUGUAGAGGUGAAAUUCGUAGAUAUUAGGAAGAACACCAGUGGCGAAGGCGGCUCACUGGUCCGGUACUGGACGCUGAGGUGCGAAAGCGUGGGGAGCAAACAGGG
rnacentral:rRNA from 1 species